GGUCCCGUAGCUCAAUUGGAUAGAGCAACUGCCUUCUAAGCAGUAGGUUAUGAGUUCGAUCCUCGUCGGGAUCACCA
rnacentral:tRNA from 1 species